rnacentral:rRNA from 1 species
CAACAACGGAUCUCUUGGCUCUGGCAUCGAUGAAGAACGCAGCGAAAUGCGAUAAGUAAUGUGAAUUGCAAAAUUCAGUGAAUCAUCGAAUCUUUGAACGCACAUUGCGCCCGCCAGUAUUCUGGCGGGCAUGCCUGUUCGAGCGUCAUUU